rnacentral:tRNA from 1 species
CAAGGGUUAGUUUGACGACCAGAAUUUUGGCCUUGGGUGCCAGCGGGGGAGGUGAAAAUCCUUCACUCUUGA